AUACUUACCUGGUAGGGGAGAUACCAUGAUCACUAAGGUGGUUCUCCCAGGGCGAGGCUCAUCCAUUGCACUCCGGGUGUGCUGACCCCUGCGAUUUCCCCAAAUGCGGGAAAUGCUGUUGGCAUUGCUGCAGUGAAGGGUGACUGACUUGGCAUUGCCAUC